rnacentral:rRNA from 1 species
UACAGAGGGUGCGAGCGUUAAUCGGAAUUACUGGGCGUAAAGGGCGCGUAGGUGGUUUAUUAAGUUUGAUGUGAAAUCCCUGGGCUUAACCUAGGAACUGCAUCGAUGACUGAUAAGCUAGAGUACUGUAGAGGGUAGUGGAAUUUCCGGUGUAGCGGUGAAAUGCGUAGAGAUCGGAAGGAACACCAGUGGCGAAGGCGGCUACCUGGACAGAUACUGACACUGAGGCGCGAGAGCGUGGGGAGCAAACAGG